GGACUCUGAAAAUACGGACUGAGGACCCCUGAGGAUCUCUAAGACCCAGUCAAGGAAUCUGAGAAUUCCUCUGUUUUCCUACUCCAUAUCUGUAGGAGGCCAGAUUUUCUUCAAAUACUCAAACUGAAGAACAUGUCACGAUUGUAUCAAUGGCAGAGGCACCUAUUAGAAUCCAGCAUGUUCCUUCCUACACGUGGAGAUCUGUGCACCUGUAUUACUGCCUCUACCAGAAGACACAGCACUCUUUGCAUUCAUCACAGUACUCAGCAAUGCUCUGCAUGUAACAGAAGCUCAAGAUCACAAGCAGGCAGAGAGGCAGGCAGAGAG